GUGAUUAACACCAGGUAGAUGUGUGGCAAAGCUGCUGUGUGUCUGCAGGGAGUGUGAGCUGAGCACAGUGGAGGCUCUGCAGCUGCCAGUAGAUGGAGCUGUUGACUCAUCAUCAGCAUCCACUGGUAGACGCACAGUCGGUUUGCACUGUGCACGGAUCGAGAAAACUGAACACUAAAAGCAAAUAAACAUUCAUUUUCUGAGUAUGAGGAGUUUUCUGACGGAUGGAGUCGCUCAUAAUAAAAAAAGAGGGACACUGAGGACGUCCCUUGUCAGUCAUUUAUGAGUGGUCCGGUUGAAUCAGCACACAGCACUAUAGAGCACAAUUUGAACUCAAGUGGACCAGACCAGUGAAAUAAUUGCAUAAUAACCAAUAAACAACAAGAACUCCA